UUGACCUCGGAUCAGGUAGGGAUACCCGCUGAACUUAAGCAUAUCAAUAGGCGGGGAGGAAA
rnacentral:rRNA from 2 species